UUCCCAUACUUGAAAAGCCUCAAGAAAACCUUUUUCUUGUCCUCCUUUGGUCACGGCAACAUCAAGCCACCACAACCCUAUUAUUUUCAUCCAUCAAAUAACCAAUUUCAAGCCUAAGAACUUCAUUUCAAGGUGAUUCAUGGAACUUGUAAGCUUAACGGAUCACUAAGGAGCACUUUGGAGCUUAAUCUUCAUCUAGUUCAUCUACUAGUUUCUUGCAAAGUUAUGAUACUUAUGUUUAUGUUGAUUAUGUUAAAGUCUAGCGGAGUGUAAGGAACUAAUCGGGAGCUUUACGGACCACCGGGAUGCGAAACGGGUCAACCGGGAUCAAGAUAACCAAAAAACGGAAAGUCGGACAUAGGGGUACCAUCGCCGACGCCCUCCUGGGCCGUUGGUGACGCCGUCUGGUGAAUCACGUCGCCCGAAAACCUCUAUAGACAGCAGUUUAAGCCGUCAGACGAAACCCAAAAAUCUGUGCACCGUCGCUGACGCCCAAGGGGGCCGUCGGCGACGCCCCUCCAUUCUCUGAUUCGCGAAUUUUGUUGAUUUGGGUAGUGGGACGAGUUGUAACGGGUUUGGGAGCCAAUUUUCGGGAGUUACGAGUUGGGGAAGGUUAAAACACCAUCUUGGAUCAUCUAAUCCAUAUCUAACCUAUCUCAAAUCACUCCUAACACCCACCAUUCACCUCUAACAUCUAAACCCUAACCAAUUCUCCAUCACCUCUAACCCUAAUCGAUUCCACUAUCAUCGUCACCAUCAUCUUCAUCCUUUCACCUUCACCUUUAAACCCUAAUCUCCAUCACUUCUCUAAGACUCAAAGGUCAUGCUCGGUGUUCGUGCUCGUCUCCCGGUGAUCGCAUCCAUUCAACCAUGAGCGGCUAGUCUCUUCGGUUUCACCCCAGUGUAGAUUGCUGUAAGAUUUCUAGGGUUUAUGCAUUUGUAUUCGAUUUGAUUUUAUGACAAAUUGUUUUGUAUUUGAAACCUUUGAUAAUUAUCUUGCAUUUGUU
rnacentral:lncRNA from 1 species